AGAGUUUGAUCAUGGCUCAGAUUGAACGCUGGCGGUAUGCUUAACACAUGCAAGUCGAACGGUUAACAGGGCCUUCGGGCGCUGACGAGUGGCGACGGGUGAGUAACGCGUAGGAAUCUGCCUCAUAGUGGGGGACAACGUGGGGAAACUCGCGCUAAUACCGCAUACGCCCUACGGGGAAACGGGGGAUCUUCGGACCUCGCGCUAUGAGAUGAGCCUGCGUUAGAUUAGCUAGUUGGUAGGGUAAAGGCCUACCAAGGCGACGAUCUAUAGCUGGUCUGAGAGGACGAUCAGCCACACUGGGACUGAGACACGGCCCAGACUCCUACGGGAGGCAGCAGUGGGGAAUAUUGGACAAUGGGCGCAAGCCUGAUCCAGCAAUACCGCGUGUGUGAAGAAGGCCUUAGGGUUGUAAAGCACUUUCAAUUGGGAGGAAAACCUGCCGGUCAAUACCCGGCAGCUUGACAUUACCUUUAGAAGAAGCACCGGCUAACUCCGUG
rnacentral:rRNA from 1 species